CUACGUGCCAGCAGCCGCGGUAAUACGUAGGUGGCAAGCGUUGUCCGGAAUUAUUGGGCGUAAAGCGCGCGCAGGCGGAUCAGUUAGUCUGUCUUAAAAGUUCGGGGCUUAACCCCGUGAUGGGAUGGAAACUGCUGAUCUAGAGUAUCGGAGAGGAAAGUGGAAUUCCUAGUGUAGCGGUGAAAUGCGUAGAUAUUAGGAAGAACACCAGUGGCGAAGGCGACUUUCUGGACGAAAACUGACGCUGAGGCGCGAAAGCCAGGGGAGCGAACGGGAUUAGAUACCCUGGUAGUCCAUGCCGUAAACGUUGGGCACUAGGUGUGGGGGACAUUCCACGUUUUCCGCGCCGUAGCUAACGCAUUAAGUGCCCCGCCUGGGGAGUACGGCCGCAAGGCUAAAACUCAAAGAAAUUGACGGGGGCCCGCACAAGCGGCGGAGCAUGCGGAUUAAUUCGAUGCAACGCGAAGAACCUUACCAAGGCUUGACAU
rnacentral:rRNA from 1 species